GCCAGGGUAGUGUAGUGGUUUGAGUGUUAGAGUAGGACUCUGGAGACUAGGGUUCGAAUCCCUACUCAAUCA